ACUGGCGGAGGAAUUCUCUCUUUAUAUCGAUGUCCUCGAGUUGACUUCCAGUUAGAACGUACAUUAUUACCUAGAUGUGUCGUAAAAUAUAAUUCAGAGACGGUUAUGAGAAAUAUGGAUUACCCAAGCCUAACUUGCAGAUUACCUGUUAUAAGAAAUUGUAGAUUAUCUGUUUAAUUUACCUACUGUGACGUACACAAUGAUAUAUAUAAUAAUAAUAUUAACUUUUGUGUUUUGUGUUGUAAAUACUAGCUUCAUUUCUACAAUAUCGUUUAUGAAAAAUGAUUUUAACGAUAUUAUCAUGGACAGGGAAAUAUUAGAGACAUUCGAUUCAGUUAAAUCUAAGACAGAAUGCGCCCUGAAGUGUACGGAGAAUUCUGAUUGUUUGUCGUAUUUCUAUAACAAUGUUGAAAGAUCCUGUCAAAAUCACCCUGUAGUUUUCAUCAGUCCAGUUGAUGGCGUGGCUAAACCAUUUACUACCUAUUCUGUAGUAUUUGACGUAUCUGGUUCUUGUCCAAUAAAUGAUGAAUAUAUCAACCAUAGAGGCUAUAAUUUAUGUUACAAACCACAUAAAAUAUCGGUGGAUCGUGCUGGCGCCAUCAGUAAAUGUGACGGAGACGGCGACGUUCUCUUUACUGGUUACAAUACUCAACAAAUUAACCACGUGGCUCAACAAUUAAACUCAUCGUCAGAUUACAGGGCAGUGGCAGCGGGGUUUUAUAUUGAUGGUAGUGACGAGGUGGAAGAGGGACAAUGGGUGCUCUCUGAUGGAAGUUUGAUCGAUUGGAGUCUAUGGUUACCAGAGCAACCACAAAAUAAAACAGAUGAAGACUAUCUAGCCUUAAGAUACGAGGAAGAAUAUUCAACAACUGGCUUUAACGACGCUAAAACGUCUUGGCUUAAAGGAGUCGUUUGUCAAAAAGUCGUGUGAUCAGAUUUUUAGCUCCUUGGUCCAUUUUGUACAUUUUGUAUUUUUAUCGAUCAGGUACCCUGUGUUCAA